CGUCCCGGCCGUNUAUUGGGGCCAAAGAUCCGUAGCCGGCUCUGCAAGUCUUCCGUUAAAUCCACCUGCUUAACAGAUGGGCUGCGGAAGAUACUAUAUAGCUAGGAGGAGGGAGAGGCAAACGGUACUCAUUGGGUAGGGGUAAAAUCCGUUGAUCCAUUGAAGAACACCAGUGGCGAAGGCGGCUUGCCAGAACGCGCUCGACGGUGAGGGAUGAAAGCUGGGGGAGCAAACCGGAUUAGAUACCCGGGUAGUCCCAGCUGUAAACGAUGCAAACUCGGUGAUGAAUUGGCUUAUUGCCAAUUCAGUGCCGCAGGGAAGCCGUUAAGUCUGCCGCCUGGGGAGUACGGACGCAAGACUGAAACUUAAAGGAAUUGCGGGGGGGAGCACAAG
rnacentral:rRNA from 1 species